rnacentral:rRNA from 1 species
GUUCCGCUGCUAGGCAUCAACCAGACUCUCCUGCUGGUGGGUGUGACCUUCACUCUGUGCCAGGUCUGAGGAUGCCCUCCGUCGUCACCCCUUAUAACCUGUUACCCCCUUUGGGACUAGGUCGCUGCGGCGCACACACUUCUUCCGGACGCCCAACAUUUCGUGAAAAUCACCCCUACUUUACGUGUCCCGAUUAUGGAGACACAAAACUGGAUUGGGUGUCUUUUUCGUGGCCGAUUGAGACACGGUCGUCGGCGCCAUUAUGUCUCCCACGUUCGCAAUUAGCCUUAAUGACCCGCAUUUCGCAUGCAUCCGCCAAAGCAUUCAGCCCACACUUUCGGGGCCCGAGUUGGACCCUUAACGUAAGCUCUGACGCUUCGAUCCCGCGCCUUCUCCCUUCACCUUAAAGGCCACAUCGCCACUUUACGCAUCUAUAGCCUUCCUUGUAGUCACCGCUUUCGCUGAAGGACCAGGUCGCGGCUGCGAGUCCAUGCUUUCGCACCCCUCGUUUGUCCUAAUCUAUGGGACCAUCAGGUGCGGUAUUUGCUACUCUUGAUCUGCAACUCUCCCAUUCGGAGGGUCACAGCGUCGAUUGCGCUAUUCAGAGGCG